rnacentral:lncRNA from 1 species
AAAGGGUCAAGAGGUCAACUGUAGGGACUUAGAAGGCGUAAGACACUCUCAACUGUAGGGAAAGGGCAUUGAGAAAUCAGUAAAUUGGCCUGUGGUUACAGAGCUCUUAAGUUUGGGUACUGACAAGGGACGCAGGCGCUGGAGUCCAGUCGGCACUGGUUUUUAAUGCUGUCUUCCAGCCCCACGCACUGCAUCUAGGCAAGCAAGAAGCAUAUGGCUGCUGCUGCUCUAGUGAGGCUCCUUACCUGCGGGACUCAUACUCAUUCUGAUCUUCCAACUUCCUCACCUUUUUCUUGAUUAUAGGCAAUUUCUUGGUGUCUACAAAGACAGUGUUUUCCUGGACAACAAGAGGCAGAAUGAUUCUUCAUUAUUCAGUUUUACUGCAGAGUCAACUUCUCAGGAGACUUAACACACAAAUCCCAGUCUGUUCUGAAUGCAAUAGCAAACUUUUCUGUUCAGGGCCCCAUCCUAAGUCUUGAGUUCUGAGCUCUGUUCAACAGAGACUCAGCACAGCCGUGUGUUCACUACACGCUUGAGAUACAAUCUUUUGGGAUUAGACUAUCUCUGUCAAGUACUCAGGUUAAAUGGCCUCUGAAGAUAAGUUGUAAAUCGUCUCUAAACUCUAAUUCAUGGCUUUCCCUGUUAAUCCAUAUACCUGGCUUAAUAGAAACACUGAGUAGAUAUAAAAUCCAAGUUUCUUCAUGGCAGGACAGUCCUAUUUUUCUAUGCCUAAGGCAAAGCCAGUCAAAUUUUAUUAAUCACUAACCUGAGUGUAUAAACACAAAUUAGCAUUUUGUGUUGGUUAGUUUUUAUGUCAUCUGACACAGACUAGUGUCACCUGAGGAGGGAGCCCCAAAUGAGAAAAAUACAUCAGAUCUAGCUGUAGAGCAUUUUCUUAUUUAGUGAUUAGUGGGUGUGGGGCACACAAGCCCACUGUAGAUAGAGCCAUCCCUGGCAGGUGGUCCUGUUUCUUUAAGAAAGCAGGCUGAGCAAGCCGCUAAGUAGCAGCCCUCCAUGGCCUCUGCAUCAGCUCCUGCCUCCAGGUUCUGCCCUGUAUGAGUUUCCAAUUUCUCUGCUUUCUAUGACAAACUGUUACAUGGAAGUGUGAGUAAAAUAAACCCUUUCUUCCCUAAGUUGCUUUGGGUAUGGUGUUUAAUCACAGCAAUAGCAACCCUAACUAAGACACAUUUCAUCUUACAAAUCUUGACAACAGACCAAACAUUUACCAGGCGACUGCUAAGCACUGCUCCAAAUAGAUUCUCAACUGUUUUGAGAACAGAGAAAAGUAAAGGCCAUUUUGUUAGCUGUACUGUAGGAGAGUGAGUGGGGAAGGAGGAAGCUCACCCUGAAGAGAUGCUAGCUGCUCCUGGUUAAAGUCCCAGACUAAGGGAACAAGCACCAAGGGUGAGCUGCUUAGGCAAAAGACAAACCACAGGUCUUACCCCUGUUGCGUAUUUUGCAUACAUGAUACCAUUCCAUUCCCCUUCAAUUGAGCAGAAGGAUUUCUUGUCAUUCGGAGAACUAAACAGAAAAGAAACAAUUUAUAUUAGUCUCAAGCUGGAAACUAUUCUACUCAAGCAAGGGUGGUCUGGUAAAGAGAGCAACUGAGCAGAUCCAAAACGCCAAACGCAUUUCACAGUAAGACACUGGCUUUCAGAUCAUUCCUCACUCAGGACAGGGAUCUCCAGAGGAUCUGGUAUUUAGCAGUGUACUGAACACAAGUACCAUAUAAAAGAAUCCUUCUGUCUUCUAUAAACUACGUCAAAGCUCAAGGAUAUGCUCCAUCCAAACGUUUUUAGGGAACAGGCCUAAUCAGGUCUUCUUCCUUUUGACCACCUGCUAGUCCAUCACUGUCUUGUACAGAGCAGCCGAGUAACGGUGUGCACUGGGCCCACUCUGUCGGAAGGGAACAGCAAACUUUUCUCUUCAGGGCCCCAUACUGCUCACCCCCCCCACCCCUUUUUUUGGUUUGGCAGCUGACUCAGAUUAAAUCAUUUUGGAAAACUGAUUAACCAACCAGUCAAGCAUUACUCCCUGGGACAGUUUCAGGGCAGAGAAAACGUCACAGGGCUUAACGGGACAGACUCCUUUUGCAGGCAGUUUCUGAAUCCGAAAACUCUGGUUACACAGCUACCUUCCAGGCCCUGUCCUGCCAGAUACCUAUCCAUAUGAGAUACUGUUUUUCCUUAGCAAAGGAAUAGGAAAAUGAGGGGCUUUGUGAAGGUCUGAAGAUGCUCUACUGCAGUCACAAAGCCUCUCUUCAAGAUGAGCUCAUGGUUCAACCUGCCAAGAAGGCUGGAGUGCACGGUGCAGCGGAUCCCACCUACCACCCUUGAGGGUUCUGGGCCCAGCAUGCAGGUCUCCUUUUGUCAAGAGUGUUUAGGAAGAAACUGACUCCUAAGAUGGAGACCCACGCAGUUGAUGGUUAGUUCCCAACAGACGUUCAAGAGAGUUAAGUACUAUAGAAAAGUGGAAUACUGAGGCAGAAAAACAAAAUACCUACAAAAUCUCUGCAGUAAUUCUGUGCUUCUUGCCCCCAUAGAAAGGCUUAGUGUGGAAGACGAUGUUUGCGCUGUAACCCGUUUUGGAGCAGUUGAUAUUGCAUUCUCCUCCCAAUUCCACCCAGGGCACUGUCAGGAUAGACCUACAAGAUCAAAGGUUUUCAGGUGAGACUGGCAGUUAGGAAAGAAAGGCAAGGCUUAAGAACACCACGGCUGCAGCUGAUGGGGAAAUCAUCUACUUGCCUUCCAUAGCCAUUGGGGAACGUGAGGAUGUAGUGCUCAUCGUACUCCAGACACGAGACACAGCCUGGGAAGGAAGAGCAGCCUGUUAGGGCAGAGGCCCGCUAGCUGUUGGUGGGUAUGGAGGUGAUAUAGUUUAUACCCCACCCAGUCCCCCUCCAAAUCCCUAAGUCUACAUGUAAUUAUGACACCCAGCCUGACUUUCAGGGGACAUUUUUUCCUUGAGUGUCCAGUACAUGUUAGAAUCCACACUAUCACACACUUACCCUGACCUAUGUUGUGUACCCCAAUUGACAUCCCAAGGAAUUUUGAUUUAGUCCAGAUAUGAGCAUUGAAUUGUAUCUUCUUGUUAAAACACUCAGCAUAAAAGGCUGAAACUGAAAAGAAAGCGUUUUCUUAGUCACUCACGUUCAAUAGAAGAUCCUUCUCACAGAAAAGAGCCUCAAAUCAUGUCAGGUGUGUAUGCUUUUACCUUCCUUCCAAAGCAAGCAGAGAGAGCCAGUGGGCAGGAGGCUAUGGCAACUCCCGCAGGUUUAAGACGUGUCCUGUUCUGCAAGGAUGCUCCUGUGCCCCUCCCCUCAAUAUGGGCCCCUCCAAUAUCUCUACUCUUUUUUUUUUCUUUCUUGACAAGGUUUCUCUAUUAUAUAGCUCUGGUUGUCCUGGCACUCCCUAUGUAGAUCACACUGGCCUCAAACUCCCAGAGAUCCCCCUGCCUCUGCCUCCCAAGUGCUGAGAGUAAAGUUGUGCACCACUACUGCCUGGCUCUGUAUUUCCACUCUUACUGUACAUUGAACAAAAUGUUGAGGAUAUGCAUUCUCUCAACCAUGUCUGGAAUACACUGUGCAAAAACUACAAAUGACAACUUGCUCUCCAAGUUGCCAUGGGUAAGAUGACAAGUGUUAGUUCCCCACCCCCUUCAUUCUAUGGGAUCAGUGAUGCUGAGUCCCUGUGAUUAGUCUCCAGUUCAGGUAACAGGAAGGACAGCACAAGUGACAAGUCAUCGGACCUGGAUGACCGUUUAAGACGAAAGGUUGUGGAGAACCUGUAACUUACUGGGCGGAUGGUGGGAAACUUGCUCAGCCACAAAUGUUACACUGUUCUUAGAAACCCAGGGAACCGGCCCUUCUGAAACGAGCUCCUGGAAGCAAUUGUAACAUCAAUUUAAAAACUUUUUAGAUAAAACACGACGAUGAGGCAGAAUCUUAUCAGCAGC